AGGGCACCACCAGGAGUGGAGCCUGCGGCUUAAUUUGACUCAACACGGGAAAACUCACCCGGCCCGGACACCGUAAGGAUUGACAGACUGAGAGCUCUUUCUUAAUUCGGUGGGUGGUGGUGCAUGGCCGUUCUUAGUUGGUGGAGUGAUUUGUCUGGUUAAUUCCGAUAACGAACGAGACUCUAGCCUACUAAAUAGAUCGUCGGCUUACAAACGCCGGCGAGACUUCUUAGAGGGACAGGCGGUGAUUCAACCGCACGAAACAGAGCAAUAACAGGUCUGUGAUGCCCUUAGAUGUCCGGGGCCGCACGCGCGCUACACUGAAGUGAUCAGCGUGCUUUUUCAACCUACUCUGUCAAGAGUGGGGAACCCAAUGAACCUUCUUCGUGAUUGGGAUAGGGGAUUGUAAUUGUUCCCCUUGAACGAGGAAUUCCCAGUAAGCGCGAGUCAUAAGCUCGCGUUGAUUACGUCCCUGCCCUUUGUACACACCGCCCGUCGCUACUACCGAUUGAAUGUUUU
rnacentral:rRNA from 1 species